rnacentral:rRNA from 1 species
AUGCUAUUGGAGCUUGAGGAGAGAAGAGGCCCUCUUGCGCUCCUCCCCCGCCGCACGCCCUCUCCAGAUCUUGUACGGGAGAGGCGGAAACAUCAUGCAUUUGGGUACGGUAAUUUAUUUACUGUUUUCCAGUGUUUCAGCCCACCGAUUGGUAGGUGGACACAUGUGUGUGCUGAUUGUUUUCUUCUUACCAGGUCACAGGCCACGGGUCAACAUGCCCCCGCCAUCAAGAAGAACCUCGUUAGUGGCUCCCUUCUAUGUAGAGAAGGGUUUAAGUUGGUCUUUGAGUCUAAUAAAUUAAUUGUUACUAAAUAUGAACUAUUUGUUGAAAAAUGUUAUGAGAGCGGAGGGAUGUUCCGCUUUCCCCUUGCAGAAUUUUGUAAUAAAGUCGUGAACCAUAUUCAUUCGAGUGUU